GCCAGUUUGGCGUAGUGGUUUAAGAAUUGGACUGCUACUCCAGAGAUCAGGGUUCGAUUCCCAGAAUCAGCC